rnacentral:rRNA from 1 species
ACUCCUACGGGAGGCAGCAGUGGGGAAUCUUGGACAAUGGGCGCAAGCCUGAUCCAGCCAUGCCGCGUGAGUGAAGAAGGUCUUCGGAUUGUAAAGCUCUUUUGCCAGGGACGAUAAUGACGGUACCUGGAGAAUAAGCCCCGGCAAACUUCGUGCCAGCAGCCGCGGUAAU